GUUAACGUAGCAUAACCCGGCAUUGCAAAAGACCUAAACCCUUUUUGUAGAGAUUCAAGUCCUCUCGUUAACU
rnacentral:tRNA from 1 species